rnacentral:rRNA from 1 species
UGGGGAAUAUUGCAUAAUGGGCGCAAGCCUGAUGCAGCCAUGCCGCGUGUAUGAAGAAGGCCUUCGGGUUGUAAAGUACUUUCAGCGGGGAGGAAGGGAGUAAAGUUAAUACCUUUGCUCAUUGACGUUACCCGCAGAAGAAGCACCGGCUAACUCCGUGCCAGCAGCCGCGGUAAUACGGAGGGUGCAAGCGUUAAUCGGAAUUACUGGGCGUAAAGCGCACGCAGGCGGUUUGUUAAGUCAGAUGUGAAAUCCCCGGGCUCAACCUGGGAACUGCAUCUGAUACUGGCAAGCUUGAGUCUCGUAGAGGGGGGUAGAAUUCCAGGUGUAGCGGUGAAAUGCGUAGAGAUCUGGAGGAAUACCGGUGGCGAAGGCGGCCCCCUGGACGAAGACUGACGCUCAGGUGCGAAAGCGUGGGGAGCAAACA